rnacentral:tRNA from 1 species
CAAAGUGUAGCUUAUAUUAAAGCACCUGGCCUACACCCAGAAGAUUUCAUAAACAUGACCACUUUGA